rnacentral:rRNA from 1 species
UACGUAGGGGGCUAGCGUUGUCCGGAAUCAUUGGGCGUAAAGCGCGCGUAGGCGGCCAGAUAAGUCCGGUGUGAAAGUCAAGGGCUCAACCCUUGAAUGCCGCUGGAAACUGUCUGGCUAGAGUCCGGAAGGGGCGAGUGGAAUUCCUGGUGUAGCGGUGAAAUGCGCAGAUAUCAGGAGGAACACCAAUGGCGAAGGCAGCUCGCUGGAACGGUACUGACGCUGGAGGCGACGAAAGGCGUGGGGAGCGAACAGG